GACGAACGCUGGCGGCGUGCUUAACACAUGCAAGUCGAACGGAAAGGCCCUGCUUUUGUGGGGUGCUCGAGUGGCGAACGGGUGAGUAACACGUGAGUAACCUGCCCUUGACUUUGGGAUAACUUCAGGAAACUGGGGCUAAUACCGGAUAGGAGCUCCUGCUGCAUGGUGGGUGUUGGAAAGUUUCGGCGGUUGGGGAUGGACUCGCGGCUUAUCAGCUUGUUGGUGGGGUAGUGGCUUACCAAGGCUUUGACGGGUAGCCGGCCUGAGAGGGUGACCGGCCACAUUGGGACUGAGAUACGGCGCAGACUCCUACGGGAGGCAGCAGUGGGGAAUAUUGCACAAUGGGCAGAAGCCUGAUGCAGCAACGCCGCGUGCGGGAUGACGGCCUUCGGGUUGUAAACCGCUUUCGCCUGUGACGAAGCGUGAGUGACGGUAAUGGGUAAAGAAGCACCGGCUAACUACGUG
rnacentral:rRNA from 1 species